AUACCGGGUCUCACACUGUCACCCAGGCUGGAGUACAGUGGCACAACCUCUGCUCACUGCAGCCUCCACCUGCCAGGCUCAAGCAAUUCUCCUGCCUCAGCCUCCCGAGUAGCUGGGAUUACAGGAUGUGAGCUCACAAUGACUCAAGCUGCCACAUACUGUUGAUUGUGAAAUGCCAGUUGAAGCAUAUGUCCUGCGAGCUUAGGGGUGCUACAAGUUGACCACUGCAGCAGUAAAGAUGACUCUGAAGAAUGGCGUGGGUUGGUUCCUUUCAAAUGCACUUGAGCAGCGGUCUCCAACCACAGGGCCACAGAGCUGGAGCUGGAUCUACCAUGAAAGACUUGUGAAUCCAGGAAGAGAGACUGACUGGGCAACAUGUUAUUCAGAAUCUUCCUGUGCCAUCCAGGCUGGAGUGCAGUGAUGUGAUCAUAGCUCACUAUAGCUUUGGCCUUCUGAGAUCAAGCAAUCCUCCCAUCUCAACCUCCCAAGUAGCUAGGACUACACACGCAUGUCACCCAUGCCCAGAUCAUUUUUGUAGAGUCAGAGUUUCACCGUGGUGGCCAGGUUGGCCAUGUUGGCCAGAUGGGGUCUUCUUUUGUUGCCCAGGCUGGCCACAAAUUCCUGGGCUCAAGUGAUCCUCCCACCUCGUCCUUGUAGAGAUGAGAUUUAGUUAUGUCGUCCAGGCUGAUCUCAAACUCCUGGGCUAAAUCGAUUGUCUCACCUCAGCCUCUCAAGUAUGUUAUGAAGGUUAUAUGUUAGGAAGGGUCCCAGGAGGUAAACCCACACAGAUGGGAUUUGGGCAUAGGUUUGGUUUCCCAGGGGGCAGUGCUGAGCUCUUUGCCAGUGGGAAAUGGGAUGCUGGUGAUUUCCAGUAGGUGACCUCACAGUGACUCAAGCUACCACUUACUGUUGAUUGUGACGAAAUGCCAGCUGAGGCACAUGCCUUGGGAGCUAAGUGGUUGCUGCCCUUGACCACUGUGAAGACUGGUGUGGGAAGGGUCGUUUUGGAUGCACUUGAGCAGGGGUCCCCAACCCCUGAGCCAUGGAGCCGCAAGGAGCCACACAGCAGGAGGUGGGAACAUCCAGUUGCAGGAAAACAAGCUUAACACGCCCACUGAUUCUACAUUAUGCUCCUACCUCCCGGCAGCCUCUCCAGGCCCAGAACUUUCUCCAGUCAGCCUCUACAGACCAAGCUCAUGACUCUCAAUGGCCUAUUUAGGCCCAUACCCUACGUCACGGCAGCCUCCGCAGAUGAGGCUACUGCCUCACAACAGCCUCCACAGGCACAGCUCCAUCGUUACAAUGGCCUCUUUAGACCCAGCUCCUGCCUCCCAGCCUUCUCUCCAGGCCCUGAACUUUCUCAGGUCUCCCUCUGUUGUCCAAGGCUGGAGUGUAGUAGUGCUAUCGCAGCUGACUGCAGCCUCAACCUUCCAGGCUGAAGCGAUCCUCCCACCUCAACCUCCCACGUGGCUGAGACUACAGGUGCUUGCCACUAUGCCCAACUAACAUUUGGAAUUUUCGUAUACGUGGAUUCUAGAGGGGUGACAGCGAAACGUGACUGCAGGACAAGUUCGAGCAUCUUAAAAUGAUUCAACAGGAGGAGAUAAGGAAGCUCGAGGAAGAGAAAAAACAACUGGAAGGAGAAAUCAUAGAUUUUUAUAAAAUGAAAGCUGCCUCUGAAGCACUGCAGACUCAGCUGAGCACCGAUACAAAGAAAGACAAACAUCGUAAGAAGCAAUAGUUUCUCUUACUAUUCUGAGAGCCUUAUCAUUCUACAUCCCAUCUUCCUGUGAGUUUGUCUUUGUAGCAUUUAACUCUAAUUGCAGUUCUCAUUUUAAAAACUGGCUUGCUUAUUGUAUAUUUUCCCCAACUAAAGCGUGAACUCCUAGCAGGGCGUGGUGGCUCAUGCCUGUAAUCUCAGCACUGUGGGAGGCCGAGGUGGGUCGACUACCUGAGGUUAGGAGUUCGAGACCAGCCUGACCAACAUGAUGAAACGCUGUCUCUACUAAAAAUACAAAAAUUAGCUAGGCGUGGUGGCUGGGACCUGUAAUCCCAGCUACUUGGGAGGCUGAGGCAGGAGAAUCACUUGAACCCUGGAGGUGGAGGUUGCAGUGAGCAGAGAUCUCACCAUUACACUCCAGCCUGGGUGACAAGAGCAAAACUGCAUCUC
rnacentral:lncRNA from 1 species